CAUUUUCGAACCUGCAAAGCAGAAUGACCCGCGAACACGUUUCAACGCUGGGGAGCCACGCGGGCGGGGUUCUUCGGCCCUCCGUGCGUGCAUCUCCCUCUCGUCCCCGGCGCGCGCGCCCGCGCCCGCGUGCGCGUUGGGUGACUUACGAACCCCGGCCCGGAAAGCGCCAAGUAAUACUUAAAUUGAUAGCCUGCCUCUCGCGCCCCGUCCGCGGUGCGCGCGGGAGUACCCGGGGUUCUCUUGAAACAAAAACGUCUCUCGGCAACGGAUAUCUCGGCUCUCGCAUUGAUGAAGAACGUAAAAUGCGAUACUUGGUGUGAAUUGCAGAAUCCCGUGAACCAUCGAGUCUUUGAACGCAAGUUGCGCCCGAAGCCAUUAGGCCGAGGGUACAUCUACCUGGGCGUUACGCAUCGCGUCACCCCCGCACCCCGCGCCCAUACUCUGGGUCGCAGUAGUGUCGCGGGGCGGAUACUGGCCUCCCGUGCGCCUUGCGCUCGCGGCUGGCCUAAAUGCGAGUCCACGUCGACGGACAUCACGGCAAGUGGUGGUUGUAACCUAACUCUCGAAGUGUCGUGGCUAUACCCCGUCGUGCGUUUGGCCUCCCAGACUCUUCAUGCGCUUAGGCGCUCCGACCGCGACCCAGGUCAGGCGGGAUUACCCGCUAAGUUUAAGCAUAUCAAUAA
rnacentral:rRNA from 1 species